AUACGUAGGGGACGAGCGUUGUCCGGAAUUACUGGGCGUAAAGGGCGCGCAGGCGGAUAUUUAAGUCAGCUGUAAAAGGCAUGAGCUCAACUCAUGUAUGCGGUUGAAACUGGGUAUCUAGAGUGCUGGAGAGGUAGGCGGAAUUCCCGGUGUAGCGGUGAAAUGCGUAGAUAUCGGGAAGAACACCAGUGGCGAGGGCGGCUCUCUGGCCAGCACCUGACGCGGAGGCGCGAAAGCGAGGGGAGAGAACGGGAUUAGAUACCCCGGGAGACCUGGCGGUAAACGAUGAAUGCUAGGUGUGGGUGUCGAGAGGCAUCCGUGCCGGAGUUAACGCGAUAAGCAUUCCGCCUGGGGAGUACGAUCGCAAGAUUGAAACUCAAAGGAAUUGACGGGG
rnacentral:rRNA from 1 species